CCAUCAAGCGCUGCGAUGAAACUGGCUCUUUUGAGGACCGCCCCAGGAAAGGCAGACCCAGAGUCACCUCUGAUGCAGAGGAUAAGUUCAUCACAGGACAGUCACCCCAAACACACCUCCAGGCUAUGUAAGGGCUAACCACGAAAGAUAGUGUUGGAGUGCUGCAUCAGAUGAUCUCCACAGUCACCCACCUGUUGCCAUGGCCUCUCCCCAGUAAGAUGGAGGAGGUAACGGCUACAGAGGAAGUAUCAAGUGUGUAACAUCACAGAGACGUGGCUGAAUGAACUCACUUGCUGGUAACUCUGGACGGCUUUCAAUUUGUGAGAGUGGACAGCUAAAGACAGCCUGCGAAGCAGGGAGAGAGAGGGGCAACGUCCGUGGACCAAAGGCUGGAGUCAGAACCAGGUCACUGAAGGAAGGACUUAACCUUUUUGUGUGUGGGGCAUACACUGUACCAGUUGAGCCUCCAGGGCGAUCCUAUUUAUUUAGUAUUUUUCUAAUCCACCUUGUAUAUUGUAACAAGUGAAUUUCCCCAGUGUGAUAUCAAUAAAGUCUAUCUUCUCGUAUCUUAAACCCAAACAAUGAUUUUGGAUGAAUUGGACUGCAGAGUGAAGGGAGAGCAGCCACCAAGCGCGCAGCACAUGUUGCUUUUUUCCCCACUUAGUUUUGAACAGUUGGAUAAUGUUAAAGUGAUUAACAUGUCUGGUUCAGAUGAUAAAAUCAACAUGCUUGCUAGUUUGUUUAACGUGCAAAACAAAGCCAGAGAUGUGUCUUUCAAACAACUUUCACAGAGACUAAACAUAUUAGUAUAUAAUACACUGUCUGUAAUAACAGCAAGAUCGUCACUGAAAAAGUCCUGGAUGGUGAUUCAUGUCUUCAGUGUUAAUCUACAAUGUAUGAAGUUAAAAAUAAAGAAAAGCCAUUUAAUGA